rnacentral:tRNA from 1 species
AAACAGCUAGUUAAAUAAUAACAUGGGGUUGUCAACCUCAAAUUACCUCCCAGGUGCUUUUUA